UACGUAGGGAGCAAGCGUUGUUCGGAUUUACUGGGCGUAAAGGGCGCGUAGGCGGCAUAUUAAGUCAUCUGUGAAAUCUCCGAGCUUAACUCGGAACUGUCAGCUGAUACUGAUGUGCUAGAGUGCGGAAGGGGCAAUCGGAAUUCUUGGUGUAGCGGUGAAAUGCGUAGAUAUCAAGAGGAACACCUGAGGUGAAGACGGGUUGCUGGGCCGACACUGACGCUGAGGCACGAAAGCCAGGGGAGCGAACAGG
rnacentral:rRNA from 1 species